GGGCGCAGCCUGAUGGAGCAACACCGCGUGAGUGAAGAAGGGUUUCGGCUCGUAAAGCUCUGUUGUUAAAGAAGAACACGUAUGAGAGUAACUGUUCAUACGUUGACGGUAUUUAACCAGAAAGUCACGGCUAACUACGUGCCAGCAGCCGCGGUAAU
rnacentral:rRNA from 1 species